CCUACGGGAGACAGCAGUGAGGAAUAUUGGUCAAUGGCCGCAGGGCUGAACCAGCCAAGUCGCGUGAGGGAUGACGGUCCUAUGGAUUGUAAACCUCUUUUGUCAGGGAGCAAAGGGCGCCACGUGUGGCGCUUUGCGAGUACCUGAAGAAAAAGCAUCGGCUAACUCCGUGCCAGCAGCCGCGGUAAUACGGAGGAUGCGAGCGUUAUCCGGAUUUAUUGGGUUUAAAGGGUGCGCAGGCGGAAUGUCAAGUCAGCGGUAAAAUUUCGGGGCUCAACCCCGUCGUGCCGUUGAAACUGGCGUUCUUGAGUGAGCGAGACGUAUGCGGAAUGCGUGGUGUAGCGGUGCAAUGCAUAGAUAUCACGCAGAACUCCGAUUGCGACGGCAGCAUACCGGCGCUCAACUGACGCUCAUGCACGACAGCGUGGGUAUCGAACAGGAUUAGCUACCCGGGUAGUC
rnacentral:rRNA from 1 species